UUUAGGAUAAAAAACACUUGACACAAAUAACUUUCUGUUAAUGAACAUUUCUUUUUUUUGGUGGGGGGGAGUUCCAAAUCAAGAUGAACCGUCAGUAGUUAGAAGGGAAUGUAUAAGUCUGAGAGAUUGAGUCUCACUUCAUAGGAGAAAAAGUUUUUUUUUUUUAGCCUGGUGUGGCUUUAGUGACCCUCCCCCUCUGCCCCAGCAAGAAAGUUGAUAGAACACCACAAAGGUUUGCUUUUUUUUCAGGGAUUUUGAAAUUCAGCGUACAUGCCAGCAAGCAGUUUAGAGGCAGGAAGUCUUUUCUAGUAGUGCAGUCAUGAACUGGUAAACUAGAAGCAUCUGUAAAAAUUUAGAGGGAAUAUCAGCUUUCUCAAAGCUCCAGCCCAAGUGUAAUGAGGUGCAAAUGAUAGCACUGCCUAACCCCUCCCCGCCCCAGUUGUGGAAUGAGAUACUGAGUC
rnacentral:lncRNA from 1 species